AUGGGCUGCAGCCGCCCGCCCCCGUCACCACCAUCACGGGGCCGCAGCAGCUCCCGUGGCAGCCGCCACCACCGGCGACCUCCGUCGCAUCCAUCAUGCCGCUGCCGCAGCAACAGCAGCCGCCGCCACCGGCGAUCUCGGGGCCGGGCCUUCCGUCGACGGCGCCCGGGGUGCCCAUACACCAGGUCCGUUUUCCCCCGUGGCCAUCUCCGCUACCGGCCUGGCUCGCCGGGUCCAUCGAGCAUGUCUACACGAUGGCCUCAGGACAGCCGCACGUACUGUCACCGCCGGCGGCCGCCCCCAACCAUGCAGUUCGGCAGGUCCUCGGGUGCCGCGGGUCCCUACGAUGGUGUGGACGGGCCCCUUUUCCAUGGUGGUACUCUGCAGCCCGCACACUCGGCGCCGUCGCCCUCGCGGUUCCGCGCGGAUGACACAUACCCGCCCGUCGUCCACGCCCAACCACCACCGAGAUUCUCCAAGCUGGAGUUCGCGACCUACGACGGCACCGUCGACCCCCUGAAUUGGCUCAACCAAUGCGACCAAUUUUUCAGGGGGCAGCGCACGCUCGCGUCCGACCGCACCUGGAUCGCCUCCUAUCAUCUACGAGGCGCCGCCCAGACGUGGUACUACGCCCUCGAGCAGGACAAGGGCGGCAUGCCACCAUGGGAGCGUUUCCGCGAUAUGCGCCUCUUGCGCUUCGGUCCGCCUAUACGCGGGAGCCGUCUGGCGGAGCUUGGGCGCCUUCCGGUCCUCACCACAGUGCAAGACUUCGCCGACCGCUUCCAGGCACUGGCCACGCCCCCGGCGUUUCGGCUUGUCAGCGGGCUGAGCUCUUCGUCGGCGGCCUACCGGACCACAUCCGCCUGGAUGUGGAGAUGCGCGGGCCACAGGACCUCCAGACGGCCAUGUACUACGCCCGAGCGUUCGAGCGCCGCGCGGUGGCCAUCCAACAGGUGUCACCGCCCUGGGCCGCUGGGCCGCCACCCUGGCCGGAAGUUCCCGCGCAGGGUCGGCCUGCUCAGGCUUCCGCGGCGCCCCUCGCCGCGGUCGCGGCGCGCCCGUUCCGCCGGCUCACCCCGGCCGAGCAACUCGAGCGUCGCCGCCAAGGGUUGUGCUUCAACUGCGACGAGCCCUACGUGCCCGACCACAUCUGCCCGCGACUCUUUUACUUGGAGGCUGCGGACUACAUUGAGGAGGGCACCGCUGCCGCCGGGCUCGGCGACCUGCCCGCCCCAGCUGACGCGGAGGUGUUUGGCGCCCGUUGAUCAGCUCGAGGAAUUCUGCAAGCGCUUAACCGCCUUCCAGCUCGAGGACGACCUGUUCGUGCAGGCGGGGAGAGAUGUUAUGGCCGGCGUAUACUACAGCCCAGGCAGUUAG
rnacentral:rRNA from 1 species